rnacentral:tRNA from 1 species
GCCUGGGUGGCUCAGUCGUUUGAGUGUCUGACUCUUGAUUUUGGUUCAGGUCUUGAUCUUUGUGGGUUCAAGUCCCACAUUGGGCU